UAACAUUGAAUACUGUCGUAAAAAAUUCUCAAGCCAGCCUUAUUUUCUCCUGUAAUGACCAAUAUGGUUUUUUCUUUUUGCUCAUGUACCCAUAGGAUUCUUUCUUUAUCUUAGACAUCCAGUAACUUUAGUAGAAUAUGUCUCAGUUUUAAUUAUUAACAGGUAUUGCUGAAAUGCAGUGUACUUUCCAGUCUAUUGUUUCAAAUCUUUUAUUUCAGGAAGGUUUUCUUUUUUUUGAGGAAGAUUAGCCCUGAGCUAACCUCUGGUGCCAAUUCUCCUCUUUUUGCUGAGGAAGACUGGCCCUGAGCUAACAUCUGUGCCCAGCUUCCUCUAUUUUACAUGUGGGACGCCUGCCACAGCAUGGUCUGACAACCAGUGUGUAGGUCCGCACCCAGGAUCUGAACCAGUGAACCCCGGGUCGCUGAAGAAGAACGUGCAAACUUAACCACUGUGCCAUUGGGCUGGCCCCUCAGGAAAGUUUUCUUGAAGUAUAUUUUUGAUUAUUUUUUGGUGUAUUUGUUCUAUUUUCUUCAGAAAUAGCAAAUUUUGUGUAAGUUGAAUACUUCCCCCUGACCUUUUUUGGUCUUUCUUAACUAUUUUUUCUGUUUUUAAAUUAAGUGUUUUCAAGAUUUUUUAUAGGAGUACACAGUGAUGACUCAUACUUGCAUAAGUGAAUCUUAUGAAAGAACCUGAACAGAUGUUUGACUCAGUUAUUAACUGCUUUUUUUUUUCGCUUUCUUCAGGUUCUGAAAACUCAUUUAUACAAGUUAUAUUUCCAGAGAAAAUCCAAGCAAAUACAAGCAAUGGUUCAGAAGUAGAAGACGUUGUCCUGACACUACAAUGGCUGGUAGAGGUUGCUUGCCCAGAGAGUAAUCCAGAACUUCAUCCCUGAGAGAUUGGACCCCUGAUUACUCUACCUUUGUCAGGUUUGUGGUUGUUGCAAUAGUUCAUUUGUAUUAUCUCUGUGCAUGAAAGUACAGGAGAUGUCCUACUGAAUCCCAUGAGUUCCAGAGAUAUUCCAUGCUUCUUCAAUUAUAUCAUAGCUGCCCUCUCUCCUUUUGUUAAUCAUCAUCAAUUAUCUUUGCUAGUGUAGUAACUGUUGUUUGUUGACUGGAAAGAAGUCAUAGCUUUAGGUUUUGUGGAACCCUUACUGUGUCCAGUAAAAGUUUACUUCCUCUGGGAACCAGGAUCUCUAG
rnacentral:lncRNA from 1 species